rnacentral:siRNA from 1 species
UCAAUAGAGGAGCUAAAAUGCAAU